UUCCGGGCUCCGUGCAACAAGCGGCCGCAAACCCCGCCAGAUCUGGAAAGAAGCAACGGUAGCGGCUAAACUUGUGUGCCGCGGAUUACCCGGGGCCU
rnacentral:SRP_RNA from 1 species